rnacentral:rRNA from 1 species
GAUGAACGCUGGCGGCGUGCCUAAUACAUGCAAGUCGAGCGAACAGACGAGGAGCUUGCUCCUCUGACGUUAGCGGCGGGCGGGUGAGUAACACGUGGAUAACCUACCUAUAAGACUGGGAUAACUUCGGGAAACCGGAGCUAAUACCGGAUAAUAUAUUGAACCGCAUGGUUCAAUAGUGAAAGACGGUUUUGCUGUCACUUAUAGAUGGAUCCGCGCCGCAUUAGCUAGUUGGUAAGGUAACGGCUUACCAAGGCAACGAUGCGUAGCCGACCUGAGAGGGUGAUCGGCCACACUGGAACUUAUACACGGUCCAGACUCCUACGGGAGGCAGCAGUAGGGAAUCUUCAGCAAUGGGCGAAAGCCUGACGGAGCAACGCCGCGUGAGUAAUGAAGGUCUUCGGAUCUUAAAACUCUGUUAUUAGGGAAGAACAAAUGUGUAAGUAACUAUGCACGUCUUGACGGUACCUAAUCAGAAAGCCACGGCUAACUACGUG